rnacentral:tRNA from 2 species
GGGGCUGUAGCUCAGCGAUAGAGCGGUCUCCUUAUAAGGGACGGGUCACAGGUUUAGCUCCUGUCAGCCCCACCA